rnacentral:rRNA from 1 species
CGCUUACAGAUGGGCGCGCGGUGCAUUAGCUAGUUGGUAGGGGAAUGGCCUGCCAAGGCAACGAUGCAUAGCCGACCUGAGAGGGGGAUCGGCCACACUGGGACUGAGACACGGCCCAGACUCCUACGGGAGGCAGCAGUAGGGAAUCUUCCGCAAUGGACGAAAGUCUGACGGAGCAACGCCGCGUGUAUGAAGAAGGUUUUCGGAUCGUAA